GGCCGAGGGGGCGCGGCUCCCGGCGGCCCCCGGGGCUGCGGGGUCUCGGCUGCAGGGCCGUCCGCGUUCCCGGCCGAAUUCACCCCGUCUGCUCCCCCCGCCCUUGCCUGUUUCUGCAUCCUCACCCUGCCCAGGUGUCCCCCAUCUGAGCGCGCGGGAACCCGAAGAAAAGACUGAGCCACGUUAAGGCGGGGGUUGGCAGAGGCCUUUGGGCCUCCCGGGACCCCUCUAAACACAAAAACAAUUCAUCUCCCCCCUCGUUCGCAAGCUCGGGGCUCCUGGGAAGGACCAUCCUUUGCCUGGAGACAAUCUCUGGACAGAUUUGGGUUCAAAUCCCAGCAUCUCAUGCCUUGGGGGAGCCCCACGUCCAAAGAGCGCCUCAUCUGUGAAGUGGGAUUUACCCUACCCACCCCUCGGUGUUGAUGAAAUUGAGACCGUGCGUGCCAAGUGUUGAGAACACAGUAAGCGCUUAAUAAAUGUUAGCGGCUGUCAUGCUUAAUGUUAUUGCCGUUGUUACAACUGACUCGCUGUGGGCCCGAAGGAUCCUGUGGCUGCUGAGCCUCAAUCUUCCCCGCUGUAAAAUGUAGACCGUACUCUUCUUCAGAGCUGUUGCAUGCAGGUGGCGUUCCAUAAAUGCAGCAGGCCCGUGCCCAAGCGGAGGAGAGUGGAGGUCUCUUCGGAGCUUCUCCAGGGUCUCUGGAGUCUCUAGAGCGCGCAGCUUGGCUCGAGGCCGACCCCGCACUCCCUUGGAAACCCGGAUGUCAGCUCCCCAAGGAUCAUUGUCUGUCUUGUCCUCUGCUGAGUCCCUGGCUCCUACAACAGUGUCUAGCGUGUGGAAAGGGCUCAGUAAGUAGCUGCUGGGUGAACAGAUGGUUGAACAAACAGAGCAUGAUGGGGUAUGGCUGGAGUUUUUCACGCUGACGAACCUGAAGUGGGGGGCAGUCUCCAGAUGCUGCAGAUGGUGGGGAUGGAGGGGUUCCAGCACGUCUCUGGAGUUCAAGCUUGACCCUGAGGAUUGUGGGAGCGACUGACGGAUUCUUAGCAGGGGAGGGACUAAGGAUCGUUUCUCAAAAGAUAAGGCUCUUUGCAAACCAAGUCUCCUCCAGCAGGGGCCAGAAAAAGAGAGGGGAGUAGAUUCGUCUGGCACCAGAAAGAAUAAACGUAUCAACAAGGCUAAACUCAAAAAACCAUUGGGUUGGAGGGGGAAUUAAAAAAAAAAAAAAAAAAAAAAGCAAGCAGAAAAAAAAUGAUACAAUUUGAUAGUGCUUAUAUCCAUUACUGAAGAACAGAAAGUGAAACUAUGUAUCAAGUUUGUAACAAACAUAGGGGCUAGUGUCCUGUGGUGUGCCAGGCAUCCUGGCUCAGGUGAGUGAGGCUCCCUGGGCUCAAAUCCUGGCAGCGCCCCAGACCAACAGUAAAAUUCUGAGCAAGUGACUUCA